AGUAAAUAGAUACCCGGGUAGUCCACGCCGUAAACGAUGAGUACUAGCUGUAUGGGGUAUCGACUCCCUGUGUAGCGAAAGCUAAACGCGAUAAGUACUCCGCCUGGGGACUACGGCCGCAAGGCUAAAACUCAAAGGAAUUGACGGGGGCCCGGCACAAGCAGCGGAGCGUGCGGUUUAAAUUCGAAGCUACGCGAAGAACCUUACCAGGGCUUGACAUGGCACUGACCGGCGAUGAAAGUCGCCUUCCCUUCGGGGCGGUGUCACAGAUGCUGCAUGGCUGUCGUCAGCUCGUGCCGUGAGGUGUUGGGUUAAGUCCCGCAACGAGCGCAACCCUCGUCGUGUGUUGAAUUUUUCACACGAGACUGCCCGGAGCAACCGGGAGGAAGGCGGGGAUGACGUCAAGUCAGCAUGGCUCUUACGCCCUGGGCUACUCGCACGCUACAAUGGGCAGUACAGACCGUUGCAAAGCCGUGAGGCGGAGCUAAUCGGACAAAGCUGUCCUCAGUACGGAUUGCAGGCUGCAA
rnacentral:rRNA from 1 species